GUACUUUUUUAUCCAAAGAAAAUUGAUUUGUUGAACUUGAAGCUUAUGUGAUGUUGUAUUUGCACUAACUAUUUUCCUUGAUUCGUCUAAUCCUUUUAACAGAUAUAUACUUGUACAGUCUUUGGUGCAAUACCUGUAAUGCCUAUAGACGGACAGAAAGAAGUAGACUUGUCAACAGAAGUUGCAAACUGGUUACCUUCAGGUCUAAAAUCAGUGCUAAAUGGAGGUGUUCAAGCAAACCUUGACAAGCUUGCUAUUUCAGGCCACAGUAGAGGAGGAAAGACAGCAUUUGCGAUCCAAUUUGGAUAUUCUACAGAUGCUCUAACAACAAAAUUCUCUGCACUAGUGGGUCUAGACCCAGU
rnacentral:lncRNA from 1 species